rnacentral:tRNA from 1 species
UAGGAGAUAAUAUAAAGGGAGUAUGGAGGGUUUUGAUUCCUCCUGUGCAGGUUCAAUUCCUGCUUUCCUAA